AAUAAGUUUGAUUCUUGCUUAUUUAUUAAUUUAUUAAAUGAUUUAUAUGUUGUGUUUUUAAUAUGGUAAUUUAACAGUAAAUGAAAUUGUUAUUAUUAAUUAUUGUUAAUUAUCAGUAAUUUAAUUAUAAUGGAUAAAUUUUGUGCCAGCAUUCGCGGUUAUACAAUUCAUUAGAAUUAAUAAUUUAUCUUUUGUAAUUAUUUAUAUUUUGGUUAUAUAGUUAGUUUUAUUUAGGUGGAAUUUAUAAUAUUUAUAUUAAUCUUUAUUAAGUUUUAUUAAAUCAUUAUCAUAAACUAGGAUUAGAUACCCUAUUAUUAUUGAAUUUAAAUUAUUUUAUUUGAUGAAUACUAAUAGUUAUGUUCUAUCAAACUCAAAGAAUUUGGCGGUGAAUUAUAUCUUUUUAGAGGAAUCUGUACUUUAAUCGAUAAACCACGAUAUUUUUAACCUGUAUAUUAUUUGUAUACCUCUAUAAUUAAGAGUGUUAUUAAAGUAUAUUUUCUUUUAUUUUAUUAAUUUAUAUUAGGUCAAGGUGCAGUUUUGUACAGGUAAGUAUGGAUUACUUUAAUAAUAAAUUUUAUCUGGGGAGUUUAAUCUUUUAUUAGAUUAUAAUUUAAUUAGGAUUUAAUAGUAAUUUUAUUUAAUUAUUUAUUUUGAAUUUAGUUUUGAUUUAUGUACAUAUCGCCCGUCACUCUCUUUAAAAUGGGAUAAGUCGUAACAAAGUAGGUGUACCGGAAGGUGUAGCUAGAAAGUU
rnacentral:ncRNA from 1 species